UUGUGUGAAAUAUUCCAUUCAAACUGACAUCAGCUGCAACAUUGCGCUAGUUAUUAGAUUAAUCAGAUAUCAAUUCCGAUAAGCUCGAAUGUUAAAAUGACAUACAAUAGUCAAUAGAUUGCUAUGAUUUCAAGUGCUCCUUUACCUCAACGUAGGUCGCAACUAAUCACUUGACAUCCAGAUAAAUCUAUGUAGUUCUUCAAAUCAAAUACAAACAUAGUAAAACACAUUUAUCUGCAAAUCACCCAGUUCACACUGAAACUAUAAACAAUAUACGAAAUACUCGCAGAUGGAACUGUUCAUCUAGGGGAGAUUACUCUGUCUAGCUUAAUGCUCACAAAACUCAUGUAGUUUGGUCAGGGGGAGUUGAUGUAUGCUGGGUAUUUCUUGAGUAUCUCAUCCAUCUAAUGAUAUUGAAUAAUCCAACUGUAGGACUUCGAUUUUAGUUACUUGAAUGAAUAUUGAAUAACUCUGACAAAUAUCUGAGAUUACUAAUACUGACUAACAGUGUAGACUGUGACACAUAUUUUCUUCAGCUUAUCCAUGAUGUAUACACGGGGCCAAAUUGUGAAUAUGUGUCAACAUGUACAAUGGUGCUGUUAAUAAAGAAUUACUUUUAUGGAGACAUACAAGUAAAAACCGACGUGCAGUGAUAUAUAGUAUACAAGAAUGCGAGUGAGUCUCUUUUAACUUUGACCCAGUUACAUUACAGCCUGUGAGCUUCGUGUGGGAGGAAUGUCCGAAAUCAAGCAGCUCUCGGAGGUUAACCACUUUGGUGUUAACAACAUGUAGGGUAUUGAGCUGAGAAACCCGAAACAAACCCGGAGAGAAACAGGAUUCGAACCCACAACCAUAGGAUUCUGGUGCGCUCAAGGGAUGUAACUCUGAACAACGUGUUCCGUUUGACGAGUGGCCCACCGGGGCCCUCCACCUGUAUGAAAUGAGUGACAUCGGCCGACCCAAACAUGCAGCCCACCCCGACCACCCUAUCAUCAGACAGCCUGGAAAGUACUCGAGCAGCCUCGUUCACCUUUCAGCAUUUGCAGCCUGGCUACGAAGGAGACAUUUUACACCCUUAAAGGGGAAGUGCACAA